UCCGGAGGGUGCAAACGUUGCUCGGAAUCAUUGGGCGUCAAGCGCAAGUAGGCGGUUCGUUAAGACGGGUGUGAAAGCCCUGGGCUCAACCCAGGAAGUGCAUCCGAAACUGGCGAGCUGGAGUAUGGAAGGGGGUCGCGGAAUUCCCGGUGUAGAGGUGAAAUUCGUAGAUAUCGGGAGGAACACCAGUGGCGAUGGCGGCGACCUGGGCCAAUACUGACGCUGAGGUGCGAAAGCGUGGGGAGCACACAGG
rnacentral:rRNA from 1 species